rnacentral:rRNA from 1 species
UACAGAGGGGGCAAGCGUUAUUCGGAAUUAUUGGGCGUAAAGGGCGCGUAGGCGGCCUGGCAAGUGGAAGGUAAAUCCCUCGGCUUAACCGAGGAACUGCCUCCCAAACUGCUUGGCUUGAGACCAGGAGAGGUGAGUGGAAUUCCCAGUGUAGCGGUGAAAUGCGUAGAUAUUGGGAGGAACACCAGUGGCGAAGGCGGCUCACUGGACUGGUACUGACGCUGAGGCGCGAAAGCGUGGGGAGCAAACGGG